rnacentral:rRNA from 1 species
AACUGGUGAACCUUGAGACGUUCUCGGAUGAGCUGUGGGUAGGAGUGAAAGGCUAAUCAAGCCCCGUAAUAGCUGGUUCUCCCCGAAAUGUAUUUAGGUGCAGCGUCAUGCGCUGAUCGAGGGGGGUAGAGCACUGAAUGAGCUAGGGGGCACACCCGCCUACCAAACUCAAUCAAACUCCGAAUACCCUCGAAUGAAGCAUGGCAGUAAGACAGUGGGGGAUAAGCUUCAUUGUCGAAAGGGAAACAGCCCAGCCCUGCAGCUAAGGUGCCAAAAUACCGCUCAGUGGAAAGGAAGUGAGAUCUCAUUGACAGUGAGGAUGUUGGCUUAGAAGCAGCCACCAUUUAAACAGUGCGUAAUAGCUGACUCAUCGAGAGGUCUCGCGCCGAAAAUGAUUGGCGAUAAGCGGUAUACCGAAGCUCUGGAUUGUAUCAACUACGGUUGAUGCAGUGGUAGGGGAGCGUUCUGAACACGUCGAAGCACGAAGGUGACUGACUGUGGAGCGUUCAGAAGUGAGGAUGCAGACAUAAGUAACGUUAAGGGCGGUGAAAUCCCGCCCCGCCGUAAACCCAAGGUUUCCUGGGCAACGAUAUUCGUCCCAGGGUUAGUCGGGAGCUAAGUCAAGGCCGUAUGGCGUCGGCGAUGCACAUUGGGUUAAUAUUCCCAAACCGGCUAUGGUUAAACCACACGUGCGUGGAAAUUGAGAAAGCAUGCCGGCUGAAAGUGGCAGAAGGAGGCGGGGCAACCCAAAUCCGGUCUUUUGAUCCGACCACCGAGAAAAGCGUUGUGGCCCUUUCCAUGGCCGCCCGUACCGCAAACCGACACAGGUGGGUGGGUAGAAUAUACCAAGGCGAAAGAGUGAAACCUCGUUAAGGAACUCUGCAAUCUAGUCCCGUAACUUUGGAAGAAGGGAUGCCCAAGCUUGCUUGGGUCGCAGUGAAAGGGGACAACCGACUGUUUAUCAAAAACACAGCAUUGUGCCAAGACGAAAGUCCAAGUAUACGAUGUGACACGUGACCAAUGCGGAAAGAUUAAGGCAAGGGGUUAGCCGCAAGGCGAAGCUCUGAACCCAAGUCCCCGUGAAUGUCGGCCGUAACAAUAACGGUCCUAAGGUAGCGAAAUUCCUUGUCGGGUAAGUUCCGACCUGCACGAAUCGUGUAACGAGUUGUCCGCUGUCUCAACGAGGGGCUCAGUGAAAUUGUAAUGGCAGUAGAUGCUGCCUACCCGCAGAAGGACGGAAAGACCCUAUGCACCUUAACUGUAAGCUGUCACUGGUCGUUUGGUUUCCAUGCUUAGCGUAAGUGGAAGACUUUGAAGCGGAACUUUCGGGUUUCGCGGAGUCGUCAAUGAAACACCACCCUUGGGUAUUGAACGAUCUAACCGCAGUCCGUGAAUCCGGAUGCGGGACCAUGUCAGCCGGUCAGUUUUACUGGGGCGGUAUCCUCCCAAAGAGUAACGGAGGAGCGCGAAGGUUGGCUCAGCGUGGUG